UUAUUCUUCAUCUUAGUAGAACUUUCAAGAACACAAAAAAAUUAGAGCAAAAGAGAGGGGCAUUCGGCCUCUAUAAAAAAAAAAUAAAAAAAAAUGUUGGGCUCAAAUCUUUGGCUCAAAAAUUCAUCUCUUGUGAAUUCCUACUAAGCCCGGAACCCUCUUCAACGUGGUAUAAAUUUUGAGAUAUUGGAGAGCCCGAGACUUGAGUCGGGAUUUGUUUGGCGAGGGAUCAAGAUUUGGUAGUGAGCGAUCGAGGUACAGACGUUCGUUUUGGUGAUCCUCCGGUAUAGGAUACAUAUUUUGUCACGUGGAGUACUCCUUUUUUAUCCGGAGCUCAUAUUUUUGGUACAUAUCUUCUGUUAUGCAUAUUCUGUAUAUAUGUGACUAUUUGGGUACGGCGGGGCCCUGUCCCGUCAUAUGUUUCUGUUAUGGUUUGUAGAGGCCUGUAGUCAUAUUUGUGGAUCAUGGGUCAUGUUUGUUCGUUUGUGAUUAUGAUCUGCGUCUUAAUGCGGUCCUGUUUGCUAUUAUGGCCAAAACGGCCCAUUUGUCUGUAUAUGUGUAUAUAUCUGGCGAUGUGUAUUUCCGCCAAUCUAUCGGAUUUGGAUAUGAUGUUUCUGUACGGACGACCGCUUUAGACGAUAUUUGCUUCCAGUAUUUGCUUAAAUUAAUGUAUGUUAAGUUUGAUUAAGUCUUUGAUAUGUCGAUCCGGUAUGUAAGUCUGUUUGGGUGUCCAAGUAGGGCACCAGUCGCGGCCCACGGGGCUGGGUCGUGACAAAUUAUCUACAUUACACUCUUUGGGUGCGAC